AUAAUCUAUGGCAGCACAUAUACUAAAACUGGAAAGAUACAGAGAAGAUUAGCAUGGCUCCUGCACAGGGACGACACACAAAUUUGUGAAGUGUUCCAUAUGGGA